GUAUUUUCGAUUAUUACAUCAAAAGAUGACAACAUACUCGACUUGUAUUCGCGUAUAUAAAAAAGGGACAGUUCACAGGUGUAAAUGAAAUAGUUGUCGAGCGCACUGAAGCGACUACGACGAAAGUUCAAUAAUGAUCCUUCCGCAGGUUCACCUACGGAAA
rnacentral:misc_RNA from 1 species